AGCCUCCUGAAGUGAUGGGAUGUUUCUCUCCUUGGGCAGAUGGCUGAAGCCCUCUGAUGGGCAGACUCUGCUGUCCAGUCUACAGUUACUGGAGCUGAAAAAUCAUUAGCAAUUUCCACUAACAGCACUUCAGCACAAGGGAGAGACAAGCCUCUGGAGCAUAAAGGGGUGAGGACAGAGAUUUUUAGCAGUUGGACUCCUUCCCCAAGGAGAUGAUGACUGAGCUCCUGCGUGUUUUAGAAGGCAGAAUUCCCUGAUUUAACAAGGGAGCUUUGUUACAUUUGGUCAACACCCAGAGUGAACACACACACACACUUCCAAUCUUCCUGACAUGUUUUAUUAUAAAGCACUUCAGACAAACUUUGAUUCAAAACCAAAAUGUUAUAAUCUGUAAAAGGAAACUAUUUUAAAACAGGAUUCAUAAAGAAAAUAAACUGUUCUUAAGCAUCAACUUCAGUUGGAGCUCUUCUUUAACAAAAUCUAAGACAAAACUGAUGGGCCAAGAGCUACUAAUGUCACAUAUAUUGAUAAAGGGGAGACUAAGAUGUUACACACAAACCAUGGAGCAUCUUAUUGUUGAUAAUGGAAUAGGAACACUCAAUAGUUAAUUCUGGCCUGACAAAGCAGUCCAACAUUUAAAUAU